rnacentral:rRNA from 1 species
GAUGAACGCUGGCGGCGUGCUUAACACAUGCAAGUCGAACGGUGAAGGCGGAGCUUGCUCUGCUGGAUCAGUGGCGAACGGGUGAGUAACACGUGAGCAAUCUGCCCCUGACUCUGGGAUAAGCGCUGGAAACGGCGUCUAAUACUGGAUACGAGCUGCGAAGGCAUCUUCAGCAGCUGGAAAGAAUUUCGGUCAGGGAUGAGCACGCGGCCUAUCAGCUUGUUGGUGAGGUAAUGGCUCACCAAGGCGUCGACGGGUAGCCGGCCUGAGAGGGUGACCGGCCACACUGGGACUGAGACACGGCCCAGACUCCUACGGGAGGCAGCAGUGGGGAAUAUUGCACAAUGGGCGAAAGCCUAAUGCAGCAACGCCGCGUGAGGGACGACGGCCUUCGGGUUGUAAACCUCUUUUAGCAGGGAAGAAGCGAAAGUGACGGUACCUGCAGAAAAAGCGCCGGCUAACUACGUG